GCGCCUCGUUCGCGCGCGCAUUGUGAGCAUUCAAGUUUCGUUUUUUGCACUUGCCUAGUAGCUGAAAUUGCGGACAUUGCAGGGUUGGGCUUGAUGACAUUUGUUGCUCAGCUGCCGCGACACAUUUGGAGCAAAGCUUCUGCUUAUUUCCUUUGGCCGCACCUUAUAUUUGUUGUCUUUGUCAACAUCUGACCUGUUUCUGCCUUGUUGAAAGCAAGUGGCCACAAGUACUGCUUAGUUUGCUCAGUCUAAACCUGGUAGUGCAUCCAGUUUAGCACCGUGCACAUGUGUACGGACGCGUGCACGGACAUAACGCUGCUGCCCAUCGCGAGUCGUAAGCGAAAAAAAAAGGCCGACUGAAAAAAAACAAGAAGAAAUAUAAUAAGCUGCACGAUCAACAGAUUUUUGAAGAGACCGUUUCAACAGAGAUAUCUGAAGCAGAUCGUUAUUGGACAUGAAGAAAUGUGCAGUGGAUAACAGCAAAACAUGUGGUAACCGACUGACUGACGGUAGGAACAUGGAGCAUCACCCUCACCUUCCAAGUGGCUCCUCCCAUCACACAUCAAAUGUGCACCAAGAAAGAAAGGCCAAUGUUGUGGUGCAGAGAGGCCUUGACAUGUUCGGCAUUCAAUAGCACAAUAAUGGCAUGGCUUACUCACAAACUGGAGCAUGCAUCACUUGCUUCUGAUCUACCAUGCCAUGAUGUCGUGAAAUCGUGGAGCCAAACUGCCUUUGGCAUUUUUAAAUGUUCGCAUUAAGGAUAAUAUAUUUCUUGUGCACAGAAGCAAUAUAAAGUUUCAUAGUGUAAUUAACUGAUUGACAGCUACACACGCAUAAGAAAAAGAUUGUGCCAGGACUACUUAAACUCUGCAAUCUUUAAGUUAGCUUGGCCCAUUCUUGCAAUGUUACACAUUUCAGAUGAAUGCAGGUCACUCAUUACAGUUAUGCCAGCUUUUGUACGUUUUAGACAUGCAAUGUUUGCCCCAGUUUUAUACGGCGAUCAUAGAUAGCCACACCACGUUGGUAGAAUAAUUCAGAAGUAAAUUUUAGUAAAAGCACCAUUUAUGCCCGGGCUUAGACUAUGCCAGUGUAAUUUGUGAUUCUCAUCAGCAAUACCAAAUCAAUAAACUUGAACGCGUUCAGAAAUUGGCAGCAAGAUUUAUUUACUCUUCCUAUCGACGAACGUAAUCUCCAACAGCCCUGCUAACAAGGGCAGGACUGCAAACAGUGAAUGUCUGGAGAAAAAUAGCCUGCCUAAAGUUCCGUUAUCAGUUGAACAGUAAAUUUACCUAACUCACCUGCUCCCACC